UCUGUGGUAUAUGAUGACUUCAAACUUUUUUCCCCAUCAGAUCGGCAAUGCUGAUUCAAACUUCUAUUUUAGCCAGUUUGUCUGAUGCCACAGA
ensembl:snoRNA